rnacentral:lncRNA from 1 species
CCUAUAUUUUGUUUGUCCCCUUGCCACAUUAGCUGAAUUCUUAGUUCUCAUUUAAUUUCAAUCUUUCUUAUUUUAGUAAUAGAAGGAUUUGACUUUAAAAUGUUUCUAAAUGAUACUGUAGUACUCUUAUUGUUUCUAAAUGUCUAGAUACUCUGAAAUUUCACCUGAGAAUUAUUAUAUCAUGGAAGAUUAAUUUUGAAGGGUACAUUGUUAAAGCUUGUAAGAAGUCCUGCUAUUUUUAUUGCUAUCUUUUGUUUCUAGUUUCUUGUGCAAUGUAGCCUUCAAAGGUAAGCUCUUAUUUCUUUUAGAAAUUAAGAUUUUUUCUUUAGGGCCAGUACAUGGUUUCUUUUUCUUCAUUCUUUUAUGUUUUAAGUGCUUAAAACGAUCUUUUAAAAAUAUACAAAGCACUGUUUAAAAAUAGAUUUUAUAUACCAUGCAGUAGGAGUAGCAACAAAAAUGAAAAAUACAUGAUUCUGCAUCUAAAUGAUUCAUAGAAAGUUAAACAGAUGUUUAACUCAGUAUAUCAUAGACUCCCUUUAUGUAAAACAAAGAUGGUAAAGUGUUUGGUCUAUACUAUUUUCUUUCCCAAACCUUUGCCUUGGCAGUAAUAUAUAACUUCAUGGUAUUGUUUUGUCUUCUACUUCUUUCAAAUAAAUAUUUGAUACACUGGAUUAUCUUAAAGCCAGUUGCCUUUUCUCAGAUGCUAAAUCUGUUCCCACUUAUUCACAUUCAUUUGAUUAUUUGAAUGUAUUUGAACAUUUUUAGUAAGGCAAAAAUGUAAUAAGUUAUAAAAUUAGAGUAAUUAAGAAUAGAAGCAGAAUCAACAAACAUAAAUAUGCAACCAGGAUUUCAAUAGCAAAUAAGCUACAGUCAGUAUAGUUGUACGUAAUUAGUUCCACAUUCAUUGAAUAUAAUUAGAAAAUGCUCCAGUACUUACUGAUUCAAGGAAAAAGUGGGACAGAUGAACUACCUUACAAUUUUUUGUCUUAGUAAACAGCUGUAAAUAGAAGGUAAAGGAUCCAUCAGAGAUCAUAAUUUAGAAUUUAAAAUGAAAAUGUAACAGUAAAUAUAAAAUGACAUAGAAAUUUAUGAGAUUAUGAGUAAGAAAAGAAAGAUUUAAAUAAAUGUGCCUAGUACAUAAAAGAAGUUCCUGUUAAUUCUACAUCCCACCAUAUUUUGUUACAGUCUAAUGUCUUUCAGAUUUGGUUGUCUGUAGACCAGGCCACCAGUAAAACAUAAGGUAUCGAAAGCACCAUAUUUGGUAUAAGUUUAUUUAUGAAUAUGUGUAAAGGAGCCUGAAAGAAUACUAACUAUAAUUAAACAAAAAUAUUUCAGUGCUCAGUGUUCUAAGAUACUCAUAGCCACAUUUUUUCAUACCCAGAUUUUUAUUCAUUACGUUUAAACUUUACAUGUUAAAUGACAUUGAUUUAGCCUCCCCCUCAUGAAGUAGAUUUAAUUUGAGCAAUUUUACUUACCUCUCUAGGCUCUGUUUAUUUACUUGUGAAAAUGAACACUGAAUUAGGAUCUAGAUGAUCUAAAAGUUUCUUUGAGUUACAAAAUCCUGAGUGUCACUGAUACUGUUGACUAUUGUAGGCAUUAUUUUAUGUACUUGAAAUUUCAUUUCACUUACUGUGCAUGUAUUAAAAACUGAAGAAUGAGAUUAUUUACCAUACUUAUAAGCAAACAGGUUAGUCUCCUAGGUACAGGCAACUUGGAUUAUCUUUACAUCAAGCAUCAUGUGCUUCUUGUUUUUGCUAGUAGUUCUUGACCCUCAAGUCUUAUAGGGAUAGUGUAGAGGCCCCAAGGUAGAUGCCAUGCAUGAAGGGAGAUUUUGUCACAGCAGAGAAGCCAGUGCUUAAGGAGGCUUUCUCUUAGGCUUGGAGGUUUUAGACCAUGGUUGGUCAGUCCGUUACUUUUGGGCUUAUUGUGAGCCAAUACAUCAUGGUGGAGUGCAGAGAGGAGGAAGCUGCUCACUUUGUGGCAGCUGGGAAGUGAAAGAGGAAGAAGCCGUGGUCCCACUAUCCCCCUCAAGGGCAUGAACCUCUGUGACCUAAUUUUUUUCCACUAGGAUCCACCUCUCGAUCUAGUUAAAGGCUGGUAUAUAGGUCUUUGGGGUACACGUAUCCAAACCCCAAUCAUUUUUAACAGACUGCUACCAUACCUACCCAAACUUUGCCCCAGAGAAACAAUGUUACUCAUUACACUGGACAAUAAACAAACCUGGUUUGUAUGCCUCUACUUUGCAGGGAGGGGACUAUUUUUAUUUUCCAAGACUAUCUUUGAAAGAUUAGUAAGAACUAAAGUUGUGAUUUGCCUCUGUUCACAAGAUGUGCAGAAAUGCAAGAGACUUAGACUGUUGUCUUCCUACAUCAUCACCUCAUCUCAAAAGUUAUUAUCCUCUAAUUCAUACAUAUACCUCUAUAGAUUAUUACUUUAGUGUAUACUAAUAUAGAACUGUUUUCAACUUUAAUAUUAAAUUUCAUUAAUUUUUAUUUUAUGGGCUUAUUGUACAGCUUCAAGUUGCUUAGUUUUUUUUCUUAUUUUAAAAUAUGUGUACAUUGAAAUAAACUUGUACUACAUAUAAACAUACAAGCAUUUAUAUGUUUGUACACAAACUAGUGGAUAUAUGCUAAUUUUUCUAACACUUUUUUUUAGAAAUUAACUCUCUUCUACUACAUACAUUCCAUAUGAGACUGAAAUACUUGGGCCCCUUGGAGCUCCAUGUGAUCCCCCCCAUCCCUUGAAAUCAUGAAUAUUGAAAUAACCCAGUCAUUAAAUAGCUAGCAGGAAAACAGUAAUAAUGUUGACACUGUAAGUAGAUUAUAUACUUAUGAAUCAUUCAACUGCCAUGAGAAUGGACCUCAUAGAAUUUCAAAACAAGAAGCUUAAUCAGCUUUGGACGCUAGCUGCUACACUCAGACAUCCAUCCUGCAUUUGCAUCAGCACUAUGCCUCCUACUGUUGCUCUAGCCAAUGUUAGCAUGUAACACAGACAUCAGGCAUACCCAUUCCUGGGAGUCACAGGACUCUGAUGACCAGCUUGAAUUGAGGAAUGCCCAUGGCCCUGCCCCAAACCUGUAUAUUACACAGCAACCUAGAAUGCUUCCUCCUAACCUUUUCCUUUUGUAUUUCCUUGUGGAUCACACCUAGACUAUGGCCUGAAAACUUACCUUCCAGGUCCCUUCAAAUUUUCUGUCAUAGAUAUUUUGGCUAAUAAAAUCCUUGCAUGUUUAAUUAUGCUUCUUAGAGGACCUUACAGACUAGUAAGACUAGUAACUGCUAGUAGGAUCUAGAUGUGAUGGUAAUAACUGUUUUGGCUUUCAUAUGGAAUAAGCCUAUUAAGAACCAGGAAAAUAGAGGACAAAAGAGCCAGAAAAAAAAAUUGAAGUUAACUGGUAAUAAUAGUAUUUAUUGAAUUUUUGUGAUCAAUCUGAAGCCUGAACCAUCUUGAUUUCAGUGGGUCAAAAACCAAAAAAAUCCUUUCCUCACCUUUAUGAGAGAAGAAACCAUGUAACUCCCUCCAUGAGAACAGAAGAGGUAUUAAUAAUGCCUCUGAAUCCCAGAACUGGGAGACUGCUGGUAAUAUAGUAAGCACUGAAUACCUAUUGAAUAAGUGAAAGUAUAAAUGCACCAAUUCUUCUUGUAGCCACUUUAAGGCUGAAUUAUUACAAAGGACAUCGUAGGACUAUGUAUACUCCUUUAGUCCAAGAGUUAAGUGGACAGACUAUUUGCCCUGUUCCCUUUGAAAUGAAGGCAAAGGGUCUGAGUAAACCACCCUUAGAUUCCAUGAUUAGAAAAGAGCUCUAAUCAUACUCUUAAGAUACUUGCCAAUAAUAUAUAACAUUUUGUUUUGUGUUUUUUUUUUUCAGAGCCAAAUUUGCUUGUUCCAUCAAAUUAACAUUUCUACCUGGACAGUCUCUGUUGGAGCAAACAAGAAUUUCACACACAUACACAAAACAUACAGUUAGCCCUUUCUCCAUAAUCUCACAUUUUGAUUUAGAAUUUUUCACAACAAAUAAAACCUAUUGGAACUUAAACAAGCAUUCAAGGAAGCAUGGACAUGAGAGUUGUUAUAAAAAUUUUGGUGUGUCAUAGAAAUUCUGGGACAAGAUUGUGACUUCUAAGAUUAUAAUUUCUAAGAUGAUAAGUUACUGGAAAGCAGUAAGAGCUUCUCAAUCACCCAUAGGCAUUCCUUGCAGUGAUUCUACAGGCCCAGCUCCAUGGAGACCGAUUCUUUGGUUCUCCAUCUCAAUUGAAAAUUCUCAGAAAAUCUGGGAUAGUUUAAGAAUAGUAUCUACCCAUGGUAUUACUAACAUGACUGCCUAACACCAGGAUUUUUGAAGGAGGAGUUAAGAGAAAUGUUCAACAAAA